rnacentral:rRNA from 1 species
UGCUUUGUAGCAAUACGAAGUAUCCUAGUGGCGAACGGGUGAGUAACGCGUUGGUGACCUACCCCAAAGUGUGGGAUAACAGUCCGAAAGGAUUGCUAAUACCGCAUGUGGUCUCCGGGUUUAGAAACCGGUGACUAAAGGAGCAAUUCGCUUUGGGAGGGACCUGCGUCCCAUCAGCUAGUUGGUGAGGUAACGGCUCACCAAGGCGACGACGGGUAGGGGACCUGAGAGGGUGGCCCCCCACAAUGGAACUGAAACACGGUCCAUACACCUACGGGUGGCAGCAGUAGGGAAUAUUGGUCAAUGGGCGAAAGCCUGAACCAGCAACGCCGCGUGUGCGAUGAAGGCCUUCGGG